rnacentral:rRNA from 1 species
AUGGAGCCGACCUUGAAAUACCACCCUUUAAUGUUUGAUGUUCUAACGUUGACCCGUAAUCCGGGUUGCGGACAGUGUCUGGUGGGUAGUUUGACUGGGGCGGUCUCCUCCUAAAGAGUAACGGAGGAGCACGAAGGUUGGCUAAUCCUGGUCGGACAUCAGGAGGUUAGUGCAAUGGCAUAAGCCAGCUUGACUGCGAGCGUGACGGCGCGAGCAGGUGCGAAAGCAGGUCAUAGUGAUCCGGUGGUUCUGAAUGGAAGGGCCAUCGCUCAACGGAUAAAAGGUACUCCGGGGAUAACAGGCUGAUACCGCCCAAGAGUUCAUAUCGACGGCGGUGUUUGGCACCUCGAUGUCGGCUCAUCACAUCCUGGGGCUGAAGUAGGUCCCAAGGGUAUGGCUGUUCGCCAUUUAAAGUGGUACGCGAGCUGGGUUUAGAACGUCGUGAGAC